CCCCCGCCAGUCCACAUUGAUCAUUACCUCAUAUUCCUAAAACCAACAAAAUAGAACCGAGGUCCUGUUUUAUCAUUCCAUGCACCACUAUUCAGGCAGAUAUUUCAGCCUGCUUUAAGCACUCUAAUUUGUUCAAAGUGAACGUGUCGCCCUACCUCGACACUCGUUUAAGAGCACCGAAGUAGGAGAGAUCGGCCAACACGUUCACUUUGAACAAAUUAGAGUGCUUAAAGCAGGCUGAAAUAUCUGCCUGAAUAGUGGUGCAUGGAAUGAUAAAACAGGACCUCGGUUCUAUUUUGUUGGUUUUAGGAAUAUGAGGUAAUGAUCAAUGUGGACUGGCGGGGGCAUUCGUAUUGCGACGUUAGAGGUGAAAUUCUUGGAUCGUCGCAAGACGCACUAGAGCGAAAGCAUUUGCCAAGUAUGUCUUAAUUGAUCAAGAACGAAAGUUAGAGGUUCGAAGGCGAUUAGAUACCGCCCUAGUUCUAACCAUAAACGAUGCCAGCCAGCGAUCCGCCGAUGUUCCUUUAAUGACUCGGCGGGGAGCUUCUACCCGGGAAACCAAAGCUUUUGGGUUCCGGGGGAAGUAUGGUUGCAAAGCUGAAACUUAAAGGAAUUGACGGAAGGGCACCACCAGGAGUGGAGCCUGCGGCUUAAUUUGACUCAACACGGGAAACCUCACCAGGCCAGGACAUUGGAAGGAUUGACAGAUUGAUAGCUCUUUCUUGAUUCAGUGGGUAGUGGUGCAUGGCCGUUCUUAGUUGGUGGAUCGAUUUGUCUGGUUAAUUCCGAUAACGAACGAGACUCUAGCCUAUUAACUAGACGAUACCGGUAUCAAUGCUACCGGCGACACUUAUUCUUCUUAAAGGGACAGGCGGCUUACAGCCGCACGAGAUUGAGCAAUAACAGGUCUGUGAUGCCCUUAGAUGUCCUGGGCCGCACGCGCGCUACACUGAAAGAAUCAGCGUGUACUUCCCUGGCCGAAACGGCCCGGGUAACCCGCUGAACCUCCUUCGUGCUAGGAAUUGGGGCUUGCAAUUGUUCCCCAUGAACGAGGAAUUCCCAGUAAGCGCGAGUCAUAAGCUCGCGUUGAUUACGUCCCUGCCCUUUGUACACACCGCCCGUCGCUACUACCGAUUGAAUGAUUUAGUGAGGUCUUCGGACUGGCGGUUAUUCUUUAUUAACUUUGUUGGUAUUGAUGUACGCUGGAAAGAUGACCAAACUUGAUCAUUUAGAGGAAGUAAAAGUCGUAACAAGGUUUCCGUAGGUGAACCUGCGGAAGGAUCAUUA
rnacentral:ncRNA from 1 species